rnacentral:misc_RNA from 1 species
UUUCCGUAGGUGAACCUGCGGAAGGAUCAUUAAAGAAAUGCAAGGGUGCUGUUUUUACAGGCCCGACCCAUUUUAUUUCCACACUGUGCACAAACUGUUUUUACACCUUUUUACACGUAAAGUCAUAAGAAUGUAAAUCGCUCGUAAGAGUAAUAAAAGUUAUACAACUUUCGGCAACGGAUCUCUUGGUUCCCGCAUCGAUGAAGAACGCAGC